rnacentral:rRNA from 1 species
GAUGAACGCUGGCGGCGUGCCUAAUACAUGCAAGUCGAGCGAACGGACGAGAAGCUUGCUUCUCUGAUGUUAGCGGCGGACGGGUGAGUAACACGUGGAUAACCUACCUAUAAGACUGGGAUAACUUCGGAAAACCGGAGCUAAUACCGGAUAAUAUUUUGAACCGCAUGGUUCAAAAGUGAAAGACGGUCUUGCUGUCACUUAUAGAUGGAUCCGCGCUGCAUUAGCUAGUUGGUAAGGUAACGGCUUACCAAGGCAACGAUGCAUAGCCGACCUGAGAGGGUGAUCGGCCACACUGGAACUGAGACACGGUCCAGACUCCUACGGGAGGCAGCAGUAGGGAAUCUUCCGCAAUGGGCGAAAGCCUGACGGAGCAACGCCGCGUGAGUGAUGAAGGCCUUCGGAUCGUAAAACUCUGUUAUUAGGGAAGAACAUAUGUGUAAGUAACUGUGCACAUCUUGACGGUACCUAAUCAGAAAGCCACGGCUAACUACGUG